CGCGGGGUAGAGCAGUUUGGUAGCUCGUCGGGCUCAUAACCCGGAGGUCGCAGGUUCAAAUCCUGUCCCCGCUACCA
rnacentral:tRNA from 3 species